UACGGAGGGGGCUAGCGUUGUUCGGAAUUACUGGGCGUAAAGCGCACGUAGGCGGACUGUUAAGUCGGGGGUGAAAUCCUGGGGCUCAACCUCAGAAUUGCCUCCGAUACUGACAGUCUCGAGUGCGGGAGAGGUGAGUGGAAUUCCCAGUGUAGAGGUGAAAUUCGUAGAUAUUGGGAAGAACACCAGUGGCGAAGGCGGCUCACUGGCCCGUAACUGACGCUGAGGUGCGAAAGCGUGGGGAGCAAACAGG
rnacentral:rRNA from 1 species